rnacentral:lncRNA from 1 species
AGGUAAUCCCCAUCCGAGAGAGAAAAAGAGAGGGAGAGAGAGACUCCAGCCUUAUGGUUUUGAUCAUUCUUCUCAAACAAUAAGCACAGCAAGUUCUUCUCAAUGAAACAACUGACAAAUAUUUCUAAUUCACAGAGAGAAGAGAAGAGAAGAUCUGCAGUGAAGUGGAGACACUGUAAAUCAUAAGAUAAUUCACACCUACAAGUUCAAUCUAAGGAAUAUAUUCAUCAGCUACAGUGUGUUAAGGUUUUUUUAGAGACCCACGAAGAAUGGAGAUCUAUGUUAAGCCACAAGAUUUAAGAAAAAAAAUCUAUAACUGGAUGAAGUUUGAGAUUAGUUUGACAUCAAAAAGUUCAAUCUAAGGAAUUUAUUCAUCAUCUGCAGUGUGUUAUUUUUUUUAGAGACCUACGAAGAAUGGAGAUCUAUUGUUCAGCCGCAAGAUUUAAGAAAAAAAAUCUGUAACUGGAAGAAGUUUUGAGAUUAGUUUGACAUUACCUAGAAUAUGCAAUUUCUUAAUUCUGACUUCACGGACCAACUGAGAAGGAUUUAAUGGGAUUUUAUUAUAAGAACAGGAGGAAACUCCUAGAUGCUGCCACCUCUACAAGCUAUCCUUAUUGUAGGAAAUUCUCAUCCCCUUUUUAAUAAGUGGAUUUUAAAACUAGUGAUGUAAACAUCAGUUUUUUUCAUCCAGGGCGGUGGUAUUUCUCAAAACAUUAUUUUAAUGUCAUCAGUGAAUCAGAAAAGUAUCUAUAGAAGGGUUGUUCACUUCAACAUUUGCCUUGAUGACUAGACAUUUUUCUUCCUUUUUUCACAUUGCAUUCAUCUAUUCAACUUUUGUGGUUAAAGUUUCAUAUUUUUUUUUGUUAAAGUUUCAUUGUGUUUCUUACUUGUUAACUAGCGUAAAAGGAUAGUGUACGAGUGUUUGCUAUGUGGUGUUCGGAUACCUUUCUUUUCCUGGUAGGAGUUAAUUCUUGGUGAUAAGUGUGAUUUGCAUUCUGCGCUUUUGAACAAUCAGGAAAAACGGAUUUGCCUUUGGAGAGGAUUUUCAUGCCUCCACCCCUGGACAUCAUUUCAAACUGAAAGCAGUUCCGUUUCAGUAAAAAAUAACUUUUGGAGUUGCAGGUACUCCUUGUGAAACUUCUGAUAUAUUCAAGUAUUGCUCAAAGGUUUCCCUUGAAAGGAUUGGUAUCUCAGGAACAUUAUUACUAACAUGUAAAAUUGACUCAUGAAACUCUGGUAGAUUUAUAUAGGCCAGGACUAGUGAGCGAGCAUACUAUUUACCCAGUUGAAUUAAAAUAUAAUCCUUGAAUUCUUUAGACCUGCCAUGCUAUAGCCUUAUAAGAGCAGCUUUCUUUUCUUUGCAUCUUUAGUUUAUCGGGUAAUGUCACGGUUUUAGUUUAUUUUAUAUGUUGUUGGAAUAAAAUACAGCGGUCUUGUGGAAAGGUAUUGUAUCAAGAUAUUUGUUUGUUGUUUAUGCUCAUUUUCCAAUAUGUUGAGGUAAUACACUCCGUAAUCAAAACUAUGCAUUUCAACUUUGACACUCUUAUUAAGACUUGAGUCAGUUGCUCCUCAAAUACAUAGCAUACUUCUAGUGCAGCCCGCCAUCCUCUUUUUUACUAUUCAAAAACUACAACGCUAAUCAAGAUCAAGGCUGUGUUGACCUUAGUUGUGUUUUAAACAGUUACAAGGCUACACUUGCCACAAAUAACGCUUGCCCUUUUGCGAUGCACACUUCUACCUUGAGCAUGUUUAGAAUAAAAUUCUAUCAGGUGUUAAAGGAAUGAUGAGGCCAUUGGGAUCAGGCUUUUUGAAGCAUCUUCCGUGAGCAUUCUAUUAUUGAUCACCAUCUGUGAGAAUGUUGACUUUGAAAAGAGCUUGGGAUCAGAGUAUGAUAUCUGACAGCCCUUGUUCUCGUUUAAACUCAUUCCCAUGAUUUCAUCAGUUUCAACGGGCACAUACAGGAAGGAGAAACAUUAUGGCCGAAACAUUAUUCACUGGCUUGUGCUCUUAUUUUAAGUCUCUUUGAUGAACCAGAUUAAUAAUGAAGGAAUAUAUGAUUCCCCAGGAUGAGAAAUCCCAUCAAACUAAUAAUGAGGGAUUACUAAAUUCACAUUCCCAGUAGUAUAUCCCUGUUAUGUGAGAUUAGUUGUUCAUAGGAUAAUGUAUCCCUCUGCCAAUUAUUUCAUUCCAAACUCGAUUCGUAUCCAAUUUCAUUUCUGAUGUCUCAUCUAGCCAAUAAAGAGGCUGUAAGUGUACUACUUGACUGUGAGAGUAUCGGUGAUCCGCUCAUGUAAAUUUCUCUCAGAGUCAACUUCGAAAAACAGAACUGAUAAACAUGAGCUAAUUGGUCCAAGCUGGUUUCGUCUUAGUAAAGGAAUGAGGAUUAAGUAAAUGUUUUCAUCUUCUUGACAGAUGUGAGGGAACUCAUUUCCAGUCUUGCUGAUAGCCAGGGGAAUGCUGAUGUCAGUUGCUAAAAAUGGACACUCUAAGACUCAGUUUG